GAAUCUUUCUCCUCCCUUCUUUGUGGUUCCUGAACUGAUAAAAAUGAGCUGCAUUUGCUUACUUUAUUGGAAUACAGUCCUCCCAUAACAAGACUAAGUGAAAGAGAACAUGUUUUCCAGGGGAAGAAAGCAUGGACUACGGCGGAGCUAAACAACAUUUACCAGCCUACCACAGAGUUAUGGGGGAGAAGGUUAUAUGACCAAGAUUUAGACAACAAAAAGUGAUCAGAAGGUAUGUGCUUUAUUUCUAGUCUGUCCAUAAAAUCUUCCAUAUGUUUUCCUCUAAACUCCUUUUCUUUUGCUUGAUACUAAUGAUCACUGAACUCAUGGAAGCCCUUUGUAGUAGAUGGCAGAACUCCAAAUGAAGGAAGCCUGGAUACAAAUAUCAUAUCACCAUUGCUUUGAGAAACAUCAAUCAGAGACAUUUAUUUUUACUCUGUAUGAUCAAAAAAUAAAUUUCCAUCCCAU
rnacentral:lncRNA from 10 species